rnacentral:rRNA from 1 species
AGCGAACGCUGGCGGUAUGCUUAACACAUGCAAGUCGAGCGCGAAAGUGACUUCGGUCAUAAGUAGAGCGGCGGACGGGUGAGUAACACGUGGAUAAUCUGCCUUUAGGACUGGGAUAACCCUGGGAAACUAGGGCUAAUACCGGAUAAGACCACAGGUUCCAUGGAACCAGGGGUAAAAGGCGGCCUUCGGGCUGUCGCCGAAAGAUGAGUCCGCGUCCCAUCAGGUAGUUGGUGAGGUAACGGCUCACCAAGCCGAAGACGGGUAGCCGACCUUAGCGGGUGAUCGGCCACACGGGGACUGAGACAC